CCUACGGGGGGCAGCAGUGAGGAAUAUUGGUCAAUGGGCUUACGCCUGAACCAGCCAAGUCGCGUGAGGGAAGACUGCCCUAUGGGUUGUAAACCUCUUUUGUCAGGGAGCAACGCCGGCUACGUGUAGCCGGACUGAGAGUACCUGAAGAAAAAGCAUCGGCUAACUCCGUGCCAGCAGCCGCGGUAAUACGGAGGAUGCGAGCGUUAUCCGUAUUUAUUGGGUUUAAAGGGUGCGUAGGCGGAAUGCCAAGUCAGCGGUAAAAUCGCGGGGCUCAACCUCGCUCCGCCGUUGAAACUGGCGGUCUUGAGUGGGCGAGAAGUAUGCGGAAUGCGUGGUGUAGCGGUGAAAUGCAUAGAUAUGACGCAGAACUCCGAUUGCGAAGGCAGCAUACCGGCGCCCAACUGACGCUGAAGCACGAAAGCGUGGGUAUCGAACAGGAUUAGAUACCCGUGUAGUC
rnacentral:rRNA from 1 species